AUAAAGUAAAUUAUAUCUCAAUUGUCUAAACUCCUACUAAUUAGUUGACACAUCAUUUUUGAAGAUUCAUACAAAGAAAAGGAAUCGACUAACCUUGAAGCGCCUCCAUAAUCUAGUGUUCAUAAAAUACAAUAGAGCAUUGAGGCGUCGCUACAACCGCCGCAAUAUAAUUGAUCCAAUUCUUUUGGACAAUAUUGAUGAGGGUAAUGGGUGGCUAACCGAAGUCCCCGAAAAUUGUGAAGAUGAAGAAGUAUUUGAAGACGACCCCAAUUUAACUUGGGGUGAUGUUGCGGUUGCUAGUUGAGUUGGGGAGGAUCCUUAUAGUUUAAGGAGUUAUACUCCAAGUUCAAGCUCUAUUAGAAAGGGAAAAAGUGUGGUUACUACAAGUCGAUCCAUUGAUGAAGAUGAAAAUGAUCACGAAGAGGGGAAAGAAGAAGAUGACGAGCAAUAUGAAGAGAACAGAGGAAUUCAAGAUUUUGACAAUCUUGAAGGAGAAGAAGAGUAGAAGAAUAAGAUGUUGAUUGACUUCUAGUAAUUUAGUAGCUUUGAUUUUGCUUGUCCUACGGUUUGUGGAUGUGGACAAGAGGGGUUGCUCUGAUGGUAUGCAACCCCCACUUCCAACCGAGAGGUUGUGAGUUCGAGUCUCCCCAAGAGCAAGGUGGGAAGUUCUUGANNNNNNNNNNNUGACUUCUAGUAAUUUAGUAGCUUUGAUUUUGCUUGUCCUAUGGUUUGUGGAUGAUUUGGUGGUACCUAGUACCUACUUUUAAGUAUUUAAAUUGACGUUUUUGAUUAUUUAUAAUUUUAUAUUAUAUUUUUUAAGAAUUGCGCUUCACUUCAAUAAAGUGUGCCCUUCGCUUUGCGCUUCGCUUUUGAAGCGAGGCGAGCCCUUGUCGCUUUUAUGUGCUUUGCGCUCUCAAAAACACUGCGCUCAUCCCAGUUUUUUUGUUUCUCCUUUUUUAACCCUGUUCUCUUAUUGGGUCUCAUGGGUUUUCUGAGAGAAGAGGAAGAUGAGGGCGUGAAAAUUGAGUCGUUUUUCGGCGAUGGAGGUCGCACGGUGAUAGAGAAGAUGAAGGAGAAAAAGAAAACAAAAAGUAAACUAAUUACUGUGCCUUUUUUUUAAUUGAAACAUGUCAUUAGAAAAUGUUAGCACCGUUUUAAGUUAUUUCAUGCUGCCGGAAGAAGUCCACAUCAUGCAUUGUGCCAUGUCACCACUUUGUGUCUAAUAGGCACAUUUUCUAUGGACAUCAAUCAAGUGUUCAACAGGUCCCAUCGUUAGUUGAGGUGUGAAUGAAUUUUUUGGACAAGUUCAAGGGGCUGCCUAUGUAUUCAACCUCGUGUGUCUAAUAGGCACAUUUUCUAUGGACAUCAAUCAAGUGUUCAAUAAGUCACAUUGUUAGUUGAGGUGUGCGAAGGAAUUUUUUGGACAAGUUCAAGGGGCUGCCUAUGUAUUCAGCCUUUCCAAAUAGAUGCCAUCAAAAGUAUAGAUUGAUUGGAAAAGGGACAAAAAAAACAAGAUUGACCUACAAAAAAAAAGGAGAUAGGAAGCCGGGAUAUAUAUUAAGACAAAAGAAACAACAACAACUACUACUACAAUGCCGCGAUCGUAGGCUAGUUGAUGUCAGCUAUAUGAAUCCUCAAUAUUA
rnacentral:lncRNA from 1 species